UACGAAGGGGGCUAGCGUUGUUCGGAAUUACUGGGCGUAAAGGGCUCGUAGGCGGCCAACUAAGUCGGAUGUGAAAUCCCCAAGCUUAACUUGGGGACUGCAUCCGAUACUGGAUGGCUUGAAUCCGGGAGAGGGAUGCAGAAUUCCAGGUGUAGCGGUGAAAUGCGUAGAUAUCUGGAGGAAUACCGGUGGCGAAGGCGGCAUCCUGGACCGGCAUUGACGCUGAGGAGCGAAAGCUAGGGGAGCAAACGGG
rnacentral:rRNA from 1 species